AUUGAACGCUGGCGGCAGGCCUAACACAUGCAAGUCGAACGAGUGGCGGACGGGGGAGUAAUGUCUGGGAAACUGCCUGAUGGAGGUGGAUAACUACUGGAAACGGUAGCUAAUACCGCAUACCAUCGGAUGUGCCCAGAUGGGAUUAGCUAGAAGGUGGGGUAAAGGCUCACCUAGGCGACGAACCCUAGCUGGUCUGAGAGGAUGACCGGCUACCCUGGAACGGAGACAGGGUCCAGACUCCUACGCGGGGCAGCAGUGGGGACUCUUGCACAAUGGGCGCAAGCCUGAUGCAGCCAUGCCGCGUGUAUGAAGAAGGCCUUCGGGUUGUAAAGUACUUUCAGCGGGGAGGCGUUACCCGCAGAAGAAGCACCGGCUAACUCCGUGCCAGCAGCCGCGGUAAUUC
rnacentral:rRNA from 1 species